GUUAACACCUGGAUGCUUCAGAUGCCCCAGGCAGGUGGGAUUAAUGGAUUGAUCAGGAUCAUAUUUGUGAAGCAGUCUUUCCUGCUGUGGGAAGUAUUGAUCUAUUAUGCCAAAGAAGGGAAGAUGCUCCUGCAUUCGACAGUAGAAUUAAAGAGUUGAAAACAAUAGGAGAGAAGAUCUGUCCUGGUGCAAUCCAAACACCGGAGAAAGCAUCAGUGAGUCAUUGUCAUAGGACCCAGACUUCAUUUGAUCACAAGGGCAAGGACUUGGUCAAAGUGUUGAGACCAAAAAGGGGAUCCCAGAGCAAGACACAUAAACAAAUUAGGGUGGGAUCCCAGGUGGUCUGGGAAAGCGUUUGUGAGCAGGUUUGUAUUUAAGGUACAAAAGAAUGUCAUAACAGGGAAGAACUUGAUCUAGGAAUAUAAGUGUUGACUGUGUUAUAGUUAAAGCUUCAUCCUAAGGUUUCGUAAACUGACUUCCAGACCACUCACAAAUAAUUGAAUCAAGCCUUUAUUGAAGCACACCGGUGGCGGCUGACCAGAACAUAAAGCUGUUCCCCUGAUCAGCCCAGAACAAUUGCAAGGGCACUCCUCAUAAGCCUGAAAACCGCAAAAGGGAUGUUGGGGGGCGGGUGUCUAGACAAUGCAAGCAAGCCAGGUUACAGAAGCGGGGCAGUGCAGUCAAGUGGAGGGAAACCUAACCAAUCACAGUUAGCCCAGUCACCCCAGUUACAGAAAUAGAGCCCCAUUACCCUAGUUACAGAAACAAUACCCCAUUAGGUAGUUUUGUGUUCUUAAAGGUUUCUAUAGCAAAAGGAAAAGAACAUCUUGUCCCAGUCAUGACUCUUCUACUUGGCAUGGUUGUUUUAAAGGAUGAAGUCAUAAAACAAAAUGGAGUCACAUUUGCUCCUACUAUCAUAACUGUUACUCACAUCAGUGUGAGUAAGCAGCGCAUGUUACUAAUCUAUGGCUGCUCACAAAUGGGAAAUAAACAAAAUCCUAAUCAUUGCCUGGA
rnacentral:lncRNA from 1 species